GCGGCGAUCCGAAUAUAACAGCUUCUCAACUGGAGGCCCAGAAAAAAUUUCUCCAACACCAGAUCGAGAUCCUGCAGAAUCAGCUCCAAACUUUACAGAAGCUAAAACUGAAGGAAAGCAUGGACACGGGUCCAUCAGCAUCUUCGGAUGGCAAAGGAAAGAAUGUCGAAUCUUCGUCCUCAUCUGUUUCAGAUUGUGGACGUCAUGUGGAGCUUGAAGAGAUUGAUUCAUAGGCAUCGCUAACUUAAUGUAUAUUUUUAGACGCAAUAUGUUAUAUGUUGAUACAAGGGAUGAGAAAAAUAGGUUAGGGAUAAUAACUGGAGUUUGAGCGAUAUUGUAUAAGUUACUCUUUCUUCUUUUCAUCUUUUUUCUAUGUGAACAUUAACAAUGCUAAAAUUUGAUUAUGCAAAGCGAUGCACUGAUUCAACU